AUGAACUGUGAAUGUUUUCUUUUGUUUACUAAUGUUCUCUAAAAUCCAAUAAUUCAUUAUAAUAUAUCCUCCACUUUCUACAUGGUUAUAGAAGUCUGCGAAAUACCUCUAAAUCUGACACCAUCACCGCCGUAAAGUAUUGUCGGUUUCCCAGCUGCUUUCAUUUGCGUGUGCAGUUACAGUAGGACUGUCUCUUUUCACAAGACAAGGAUUUUCUUUUUGAAUUGGAAAUCAGAUAUGCGAGCCAUCUUCAGCAAUAAAAAAGUUUUGACAUCUUGAAAUGAAGGAUUGGGUUGCAGAGGGGAAUUAAAUCCCUUUCUAAUAUACGGCUGAAACCAGUUAAGAGGAACAUGAGUUAACCAAGGGCAGCAACAACUGAAAAUUAUGAUGGAACUUCUCUUCAGUAAUUGACCGCGACUGGCAGAACCUGUUCAACUGUCAACAGGAAUGCAUUUCUGAAGCGGAACAUCACAAUGACAGCGAAAUACAUUAUGCAUUAAAAUUAUUAACUGUAGAAAUAGGUUCGGCCUGCUACAAUUAUGACCAAAUAUGCAUAUUAUGUUAUGAAAAUUACAAUUUCAUAUUAAAGACAGAGUAGAUUUACCAAAUAAAUUUUGUUUUGUAAAACUCAAAUCUUUCUGUUCUCUGCAAAAGCCACAUACAAAAAAUAAAAACAAAGAAGGCGUAUAAUAGCUUGACUGAAUAAACAAAGGAGAAAUUUUGAAAAUAACACAUUAAAUAUAACGGUUAUGUAACAAAAAGUUAAAUUUAGUACUGUCAUGUAAGAUAAAGUAAAUCAGUUACACUAAAAUGCCACAGGCAUCACGUUUUGCAUUGCAAUAAACUUGAUAUAAAA